AACUCAGAAUGGAGCUUUGUGGGUUAGAUGGAGAGCAAAGUGAGAUCAGAGGCAAAGUGAAUACAAGUGUGCAAAAGGAGAACCGCCAUGUCAGGGUACGGCUGCUGCCCUGCAGACUGCAUGGCUGCUUUGACCAGAAACCCUGCUGAGGAGAACGCAGACGAGCGCCGGCUCUGACCUGGGGACACAAUCUGCUUUCCUUCCUCCAGAUUCACGUCUUCAUCCAGACGUUUUCUACUCAGUCAUCACAGCUGUUAGACGAAGAAACAUAACUGUGGCAAACACUGAAUGACUCAGUUUGAACAUGUCCUGUUUGUGUUAGCAGCUGGCUGCACGACAUAUUCGCCUGGAGGUUUGCAUCAACUAAUCUGUCCUCUCAAACUCUUAUCAGGCCUGCAGUUUGGGACCUUUACCACUGCAUGGUGGAUGUGCCUGUUAUUGGAGUUUAAUGAACAGUUUUCACUUGUUUCAUUGGAACCAAACAGCACUGAGCUGAUCCAAUCAUGCUUUUUGAAGAGACUUUUACAUGCUAGACCAACACAGAGGUAAAAGUGUAAAAGCAGCUGCGUUUCCAUCGACUGUAUAUUUUGAUCAAUUUCGCAGAAACUCUCGUUUCUCCAUAAUAAGUUUUGGCGAUAGGAUGAGGUGUUCUUUUUUUUGGGCUGUAUUGAAAUCGGUUUAUGUUGAAAAACUGCAAUGGAGAAACUUCUUUUGAGUCACAUGAUCACAGGAAGUAGUUGGAGGAAGAUGACACGGCGUAUUUUUCAAUGAUUUAUCACAUGACAAACUUAUUUACCUGUGAUUUUAAUGGCACUUCUUAUAUAACAUUCCAGCUGUUUCUACUAUGUUUUUAUAUUAUGUUGUUUUUAUAUAACAUUGGUGCUGUGCCACACUAUUAAUUAAAUGUCAUUGUGCUUUCUUCUACCAUGACAACUGGGGAAUUCUAAUUCUAAUGAAAACACAGUAGUUGUGAAAUUGCAUUUUUUUUGACAUUAGCAAAAUAUUGACAAAGUUUUUUUCACAAAUUUUGUGAUGGAAGCUAUUGGUUGAUUUAUUCAACAAACUGGUGACAAACACAGACAUAGCAAACAAAAACAUGAGAUACAACUACGACAAAUAAAUGUUAAAAAACGUAUAAAGACUUGCAUCCCAGUGUUUCCACAAAGACGACUGGUAAAGUAGUACUGCAGUACUGGGCACUCUGUCAAUAAAAACUGAAAUGUCUAAAAUUCUUCUUUGUAAAGCAGCUCAAACUCAGACUGGAUGGAGCAACGAUCUUCUUCUGGCAACAGGAAAGCUGCGAAGCAUUUUAAUUCUUUGCACAUUUCUUAGCAAUCUGUUAUACAUAAGUACAAUUAAAUAUGAAGCAAUAAAAAGGUAAAAUUACCCACUGA